rnacentral:rRNA from 1 species
GACGAACCGUGCGAACGUUAUUCGGAAUCACUGGGCUUAAAGGGCGCGUAGGCGGGCUGACAAGUCAGGGGUGAAAUCCCACGGCUCAACCGUGGAAGUGCCUUUGAUACUGCCAGUCUGGAGGGAGGUAGGGGCGUGCGGAACUUCCGGUGGAGCGGUGAAAUGCGUAGAUAUCGGAAGGAACACCGGUGGCGAAAGCGGCGCGCUGGACCUCUACUGACGCUGAGGCGCGAAAGCCAGGGGGAGCAAAC